GCUAUAGAUAGAUGACUAAGGAUGAUAUGCGAGUCACAUUUUUUUUAACAAUCUCUUAAACAUUUCCUUCAAUACAUCUACCCAGCUAAAAGGUUUAUCUUGCACGAUUCUGAUACUUUUAUUCCAAAAUGGAAAACAUUAGCAACCCAAACUGUGUCCUGUGAAGUAAUGAUUAUCCCACAUGAUGGUUCUGCUUCCAAUUUGUUCUUUUGUGAGCUGAAAAUGCUGCAUGUUUUCCAAACUCACACAGAGCUUAAUCAGCUGGAGGAGGAGGAAGAGCAAAGACUCCAGCCACUGACCGCAUCUGUACAUGCUGACUUGCUAAUUUGUAAUCCUGUAGAUGACUGCUGUAGAUCACUGUCCAAUCUCAGUCUGCCUCUCUGGAUGUUUUUCUGCUGACUGGGAGUCCUUCCUCAGCCACUGCCAGAAGAAUUAAGCUUCAGCCACAAUUAAAAGAUUUUGGAAAGCAGUUUUUGAAAGCAGACCGGUCUCUCAGAGAGUAAAAUGCAGUGAGUAAAACAACAAAAAAAAAGAAGCGUUGUUGCAACUUUUUUUCUUAAUUUAAACAAAUAAUUCAGUAUCAUCUGCCUGGGUCAACUUUGUAUGUGACCAACGGAUGCAGUAGGAACUGAAUGGGGAUAGAUGUGGAAAGGAUUGAAGUGAUAUAUAUUUCUUUCUAGGAUAAACUCAGCACAUAUCUCUUUUGCUCUUGUGGUUGCUUUUUUUUUUUUUUUUUUUAAGUAUUUGUUUUAGUCAAAAUUUCCAUCUUCUUUGCAGGAAGCUUUCACCAAAAUUACUUUGGUGUCUGUCUGAAAUGAUAUGGAGGGUAUCAUGCAAGGUGACAGCAGAAUAAGUAGAAUAAAUAGGAUGGCUGUUAACGAAAGUGGAUUUCC
rnacentral:lncRNA from 1 species